rnacentral:lncRNA from 1 species
UCCACCUUCUUUUGUGUCGAUUUGGACCACAAUUUUUGUAUCAAAUGAAAUAUGAAUAUUUGACAAAUCAUUUUGGAGAGCUCGAGUUUCUCAAAUUGCUAGCGCUUCAACAAUCAAGACCUUUCCUGCAAAUUUAAUCUGAGGGCAAAGACUUGAAGCAAACAUACACAAACUAUACACGGCUAUUGUAAUUGGUGAUAAUGAAUUCAAAAUAUAAAGAAGUAGACACACUAAGAAAUUAAGAGAAUUUAACAUCUAUAAAACACACAUAGAAAGAACUUUGACAAUAUAUACUCAGGUAUUCUCCGACAAAAAGCACUUGGAGAAGCACCUUAUCUACUCAUACCCAAUUUGACCCACCCAUUACCACUCCUAGGCACAACUCAGCAAAAGAAUAGAAGGAAACUAUUCAAAUUAAAAUAUCAAUAAAUUUGCUGGAUUAAUUAAUUCACAAGAUGUUAAAUUUUUAAGACUAUAUAAAGAAACAUCAAAUUUACCUAAAUAAUCAAAACAUGUGUACUCAUAAAAUUUGAUACGUGUUUCUUUUUAAGUUUCAUUGCCCUUAAGUGACAACAAAGGAGCUGUAAGAAUUACAAAUAAUGAAAAUAUAGAUAUCUAUGAUAAAAACGAAAGAAAGUGCACAACAAAAAAGGAAAAAGAGAUAGCAUGAAAGCACAUAUCAAAAAUAGAUCUAGAUUGGAUUACAUAGAAAAUAAAUCUAUACGAUGAUUUAUUACACAUGAUUAAUAAAAUUGACGUAAUAGAAAAAUAAAUUUACAACCUAAAAAUAACAAUUUUAUGUCGGAGACUUUAGAACGAAAGUUACAAACAUAAAAAGACGAUAUACUAUUCAUGAUUUGAAACUUGAAAACUACAUCGGAGACUCAUUAACAAAAGUUAAGAUCAUAAGCUUUUAUAACAAAAAAAAUAUAAGUAAAACCUCAAAAAGAAGAAACAUAAAUCAGUGAUAAAAGAAUCUUAAACAAAGAAAUCUAAAUCUAAAUAAAACAUACACGAUAAUUUUUUCACAAAAAAAAAAGAAACUUAGAAUUCCUACCUUAUUGUUUAACUUCAAUAUAGGCGUGAACAUCUGAUCCCAAUAAAAAUUAAAAGCAGAGUGAUUUGAAUAUCACCUAUCAUAGAUCAAAAAAAUAAAAAUAAAAUAUUAAUAGUAAUAUAAUGAAUAAGGUUACAGACCUAGACAAUCUAAAGUUGAGGGAGACAUAAGAAUCUAAAAAAAACAACGACGUGAAACUUAAUGGUUGAAUCACCUACCAUAAAUUAAAAAAAAAAAUACUAACCUCUCAUUAAAAUCUAUUCAAUUUGAUCAUUCAAGCAAAAAAAAAGCAAGAAAAAUUUACACAAAGGCAAUGUAGUAAACCAAUAGCAAAGAAGAAAAAACUAAAAUACUAACCUAAUGUUCUAAUUACCGAAAUUCCAAGAAUAUAGUAUUGGUUUUCUGACGGCCAUCUUUCUUGGUCGAGAAUUGUG